UCAAGAAGGUGGCAGGGGAGAAAGAAUGAUCAAGAAGGUUGUGCUCCCAGGAUAAGGCUAUCCCUUUGCACUCCGUGUGUGCUGACACCUGCGACGUCCCCAAAUACAGGAAACUGCAAAACCUAUGGCGGUGGGGGACUACAUUCAUGCUCUCCCCUG